AUUGAACGCUGGCGGCAUGCCUUACACGUGCAAGUCGAACGGUAACGGGCCUUCGGGUGCCGACGAGUGGCGAACGGGUGAGUAAUACAUCGGAACGUGCCCGAUCGUGGGGGAUAACGAGGCGAAAGCUUUGCUAAUACCGCAUACGAUCUACGGAUGAAAGCAGGGGACCGCAAGGCCUUGCGCGGACGGAGCGGCCGAUGGCAGAUUAGGUAGUUGGUGGGAUAAAAGCUUACCAAGCCGACGAUCUGUAGCUGGUCUGAGAGGAUGAUCAGCCACACUGGGACUGAGACACGGCCCAGACUCCUACGGGAGGCAGCAGUGGGGAAUUUUGGACAAUGGGCGCAAGCCUGAUCCAGCCAUGCCGCGUGCAGGAUGAAGGCCUUCGGGUUGUAAACUGCCUUUGUACGGAACGAAAAGCCUUCUUUUAAUACAGGAGGGUCAUGACGGUACCGUAAGAAUAAGCACCGGCUAACUACGUG
rnacentral:rRNA from 1 species